CCUACGGGAGGCAGCAGUGGGGAAUAUUGGGCAAUGGAGGAAACUCUGACGCAGCAAUACAGCGUGAAUGAAGAAGGUCUUCGGAUUGUAAAGUUCUUUAGUCAGGGAAGAAGUCAAGGACGGUAACUGAAGAAUAAGCUGCGGCUAACUACGUGCAAGCAGCCGGGGUAAUACGUAGGGAGCAACCGUUGUUAGGAUUGACUGGGAGUGAAGGGUGCUUAGGUGGUUGUACAAGUGAGCAGUGAAAUAUCCAGGGCUUAAAUCCGGGGGUGCUUCGAACACUGUAAGACUUGAGUGGAGUAGAGGUAAGUGGAAUUCCUAGUGUAGCGGUGGAAUGCGUAGAUAUUAGGAGGAACACCAGAGGCGAAGGCGGCUAACUGGACUGCAACUGACGCUGAGGCACGAAAGUGUGGGGAGCAAACAGGAUUAGAUACCCGUGUAGUC
rnacentral:rRNA from 1 species